AUAUAUGAAGUAAUUUUUACAAUUAAUUUCGACUUAAUAUUAGAUUUUUUAUAAUCCAUAUAUU
rnacentral:tRNA from 2 species